UUUAUGAAAUGGCGCAUUAUUCUAGUCAAUUUCAUUUAUUAUGAAGGCGGGGCUAAAAAUCCGCUAAAGAGCAUAUCUGUGAAACCUCUUGUGCUUGCUUCAUACGCCCAGUUUGGGGUGAGUGCUGGUGGGAAAGGAUAUUGGGCGCCUGUAAUGGCAUACAGUUCCGACCCAAUAUCUGUGGAGACCUAAUCUUGUUAUCUGCCUACACACAGCGAUUGUUGAUGGACAGAUGACGACUUAGGAUGAAACCUACUAUGUGGCUAGCGUUACGAGUAGUGUAGCUUGUCUUGCGUGAGUAUCGGGGAUGAUUGACAACCGAAAUAGUUUAUGGCCAAAAUUACUUCGGCAUCGCAAUUUGAAACGAUAUUUGCAAAAAAGAAUUAAUAAUAAAUAAUUGUCGAGGAAAACUCCUAGAGUGUAGCUUAAUAUAGGAUUGCAGUGUGCACUAAGUGGCAAUCAAGUCAUGUAUUCGGUGACGGUACAUCUAUUUCUUUCAAGGGGAACCGCUUCUCUGGUAACGGAAAGUAGAAAUAGGGGAAAUCCUACUUGACCUAAAGGCGCAAAGUUUACUAUAUUAACUGCCGUUUUUUUUUGA
rnacentral:sRNA from 1 species